UAAAAGUUUGAAUCAUUAUCCACCUAUCCAUUGUCUAACACCCUUGACCCUGGCGGGGUUAGGAGGGGUGCUGGUGCCUAUCUCCAGCAAACUUUUCAGGCGAGAGGCGGGGUCACCCUGGGCAGGUCGCUAGUCUGUCGAAGGGAAACACAGAGACAGACAGGACACACAACCAUGCACACACACUCACACACAAGGAGAGUUUAGAGAGACCAAUUAACCUGACAGUCAUGUUUUUGGAGUGUGGGUGGAAGCCGGAGUACCAGGAGAGAACCCACGCAUGCACAGGGAGAACAUGCAAACUCCAUGCAGAAAGACCCCAAGCCGGGAAUUG